AAUAAAAUGGGAGUAUAAACGUAUUUAUAUCCGAAUUGUAAAAGUCUGUUUAUAGUUUUUGUUUUGUUGUCUAUUCCUACAAUUUGAGCCUGGGAUCUGAGUUGUCUGCUUUUCAUUGUAAGAAAUGAAAAGCCAUGGAAAACUGACUCUGCUGAUUUUAGAUUGAGUCGGUUUACAGAAACAUUGCUGGAGCCAUGCGUGGUGCAUGCUUUUAAUCCUAGCAGGUGAACAUCAGUGAGUUCCUGGCCAGCGUGGUCUACAUAGAGAAUUUCAGAAGACCCUGUCUUAAAAAACAUUAGGAAAAACAGUGGCUCUGUCAGCAACCAUGGCACAGGAAGGUCACCUUUUCAUCGUGGUGCUAACAUCCAGCUGGAGUGGCAGUAUUACCAAAAUAAAAUCCUGAAAGGAGAAGCAGAUCAUGCUGACCCAGAAAGUGGAGAUCUGAUUGCUGAGAUUAAAGGCUUGAGCCACCAUGAUUAUCUGUAAUAAAGUGAGGUGUUAGAGCCUGUGGCCUAGUGAAGUGAACAUCGGGGCUGGGCAAGUAUGGACUCAGAGAUGACCAACUCUGUGUGUGUGCUACACUCAGUUCUCUCCUUCCAGCCAGGGAUGAGUCUUAGGCUCACAGAUUUGUGAAUAUGAGCUUGCUUUGUUGCGUCCAACAUAACAUGUUUUCUGGUUAGUUUUUUCCUGCAUGCUUGCUUCCUUGGUGUGGUUUCGCUUUCUAUCUGUGCUGGAUUCCUAACCUGCACUGGGGAAUCAGAAGCAAGGUCAGAGUCAAAGUCUUUUUGAUAAAGAACCAGGAAUACCAGCACAUCUGGGCUGACUGUCCUUCUUCCCAAGGGAUGGAACAAUCUCAGAGAAGAUGGUCCUUCCUCUUGAUCUACAGGGUACUCUCUAGAUCAGUAGAGCCUCCUUACAAGUCACCACAUAUAAAUUGGAUUUACAUCCCUAUCAUCUAGAGGAUAGCAAGCACAGAGAACAGCAAAGACAAAAAAGAAAGGACUAAGAACUCAGAGGGUGACACAUUAAUCACUUUGGGUCAUUUUUUUCCUGUUUUACCUUGACUCUGACUUCUAACAAAAAGAGAACAUCAAGAAGAAGAAAAUGAAAGAAACAAACGUCUUUGGAGCCCUGGUGUUUUCGUCAAAGUUUUAAAAGACAGAGAGGAGUUGUGAAAAUCAGCUUGCUUAGUGGAAGUCCGCAGUAUUAUAUAAUCAGUACCAUUGUGCUUUAUCUUACAGAAAGUUAAACAUGGCCUGUGGUCACACAGUUACUAAAGAAUUGAACUGUAACCUACAAUUCUCUCUCUCUCUCUCUCUCUCUCUCUCUCUCUCUCUCAUAAAAUUUGAAAUUAAACUACAUGUACAAUGAAAAAAGUGUGGUGCUGUGUGUCUUUAAUCACACGACACAGAAGAUGGAGACAGGCAGAGCUCUAUGACCUGGAGGCAGGCCUGAUCUAGGUACUGGUCUCAAGGGCUAAGCACCCUCAACUAAUGAAAUGAAGAGAAAAAUAAAUAGAUAUAAUUAACCUUGAACUAAGGAAACAAGUAAAGAAACAAAGUAAGGCAAUACUGGGU